CUUGUAGUUUAAUGGUAGAACAUUGGUGUGUAAAGCCAAGGGCCCCGGGUUCGAUUCCCGGCGAG
rnacentral:tRNA from 1 species